AGGGAAUAGAUACCCGGGUAGUCCACGCCGUAAACUAUGGAUGCUAGCUGUUAUGAGUAUCGACCCUCGUAGUAGCGUAGCUAACGCGUUAAGCAUCCCGCCUGUGGAGUACGGUCGCAAGACUAAAACAUAAAGGAAUUGACGGGGACCCGCACAAGCGGUGGAGCGUGUUGUUUAAUUCGAUGGUAAGCGAAGAACCUUACCCAGGCUUGACAUCCUGCCAAGGUCUCCGAAAGGAGAUUGUGCCUUCGGGCCGCAGUGACAGGUGAUGCAUGGCCGUCGUCAGCUCGUGUCGUGAGAUGUUUGGUUAAGUCCAUCAACGAGCGCAACCCUUAUAGUUAGUUGUAUUUCUCUAGCUAGACUGCCCUGGUAACAGGGAGGAAGGGGGGGUAUGAUGUCAGGUCAGUAUUUCCCUUACGUCUGGGGCUACAAACACGCUACAAUGGCCGGUACAAAGGGCUGCCAACCCGGCGAGGGGUAGCAAAUCCCAUCAAAGCCGGUCUCAGUUCGGAUAAGAGGCUGAAA
rnacentral:rRNA from 1 species